CCUACGGGAGGCAGCAGUGGGGAAUAUUGCACAAUGGGGGGAACCCUGAUGCAGCGACGUCGCGUGGGUGAGUAAGUACUUCGGUAUGUAAAGCCCUAUCAGCAGGGAAGAAAAGGACGGUACCUGACUAAGAAGCCCCGGCUGACUACGUGCCAGCAGCCGCCGUAAUACGUAGGGGGGAAGCGUUAUCCGGAUUUACUGGGUGUUAAGGGAGCGUAGACGGCGUGCCAAGUCUGACGGGAAAGGCCGGGGGUCAACCCCGGGACUGCCUUGGAAACUGGCGUGCUGGAGUGACGGAGGGGAAAGCGGAAUGACUGGUGUAGCGGUGAAAUGCGUAGAUAUUACGAGGAACACCGAUUGCGAAGGCGGCUUGCUGGAGGGUAACUGACGUUGAGGCACGAAAGCGUGGGGAGCGAACAGGAUUAGAUACCCGAGUAGUC
rnacentral:rRNA from 1 species